GGUUGUGCUGUUGUGAGCUGCCCGUUUAAUAUGCUUCCUCUAACGUACAUGUGUGUGUGUGUGUGCUCCCUCCACUUCCCAUCCACUCCCCUCAUCCUCCAGACCCAAGCUACCGCUCCUUCCACUCCGGAGGUUACGGGCAGGAUGCCAUGGUCAUGGAUCCCAUGAUGGAGCACGAGAUGGGCGGGCACCACCCGGGCCCAGAUUACCCCGUAGAUGGCCUGCCCGACCUCGGCCACGCCCAGGACCUGAUCGACGGCCUCCCGCCGGGCGACAGCAAUCAGCUGGCCUGGUUCGAUACUGAUCUGUAAAUACAAUGACUUUUUAGCUGUAUCGUCUGAUCUGAAUGAACCUGCAUUGUGAUUUUGGCCUGUAGAGUUGCUGAGCGGGCUCAAGAGCGUGGGCUAGUUUCUCUGAAAGUGCCUGACACACUAAUACAAGCUGAGUUUCCUAUGGGAACACAUGGAAGUAAAACUUUUGUUCUGGUCUCGGUCGGUCAGAAUUUGGUGUGAUUGACAGAAGAAAGCCCAAAAAGCAAAUCCUAAGAUGGAAUUUUCAACCUUAGCCUUGCCUGUACUUUUUAUUUUUCAAAGGAUUAUUUCAGUCUGUAAUGAUACUUCUCUAGCUUGCUUUAUGAUACUCGUCUUUUAUUUUGCAGAACUUUGUAUUCCUUUCGACCAUCUCUCUUUCUCUCUCAUAGUGUUGAGUUAUAGUGGUAAUGAUCCAUCAAGAGUUUAUGGUGUAGAACACUAAUUAAUCAGUUGAAUUGUAUUCUUAUCAAAUGUAACAUUUGUGUAGCUUUUGUAUAAAACCAAGAAUUGGAGAAGUCCAAAUAUCAGUUCUCUUGCUUUAAAGAAAUCACAAAUGUUCCAAAGGGUUUGCAAUCAGUUGGGGCCAGUUUUGCCUUUUUUUUCCUUCCUCCUCGUCUUGAUCUAUUUUUUUGAUGGUAGCUUUAGAAAGGUUUUGAAAAGAACCCCUAAUUAUUGUAGCCUGCAAUUGUUGGUUGGAGACUUGGUAAUGACCUGGCUAAACAAUAAAAUGGACUUUAAAUUUA